rnacentral:rRNA from 1 species
GACGAAGGAUGCAAGCGUUAUCCGGAUUCAUUGGGUUUAAAGGGUGCGUAGGCGGACUUGUAAGUCAGUGGUGAAAUCUCUCAGCUUAACUGAGAAACUGCCAUUGAUACUGCAGGUCUAGAGUACAGAUGAUGUGGGCGGAAUAUGACAUGUAGUGGUGAAAUACUUAGAUAUGUCAUAGAACACCGAUUGCGAAGGCAGCUCACAAAACUGUAACUGACGCUGAGGCACGAAAGCGUGGGGAGCGAACAGG